rnacentral:piRNA from 1 species
UACUGCCUAAGGCUGUGAUGUAGA